UUCUUGCUGGCUAAGCGUGUGGGUGUGCAGCAGGCAUUUGCUGGGGAACGUCAGCAAAAAAUAAAACUUCUCAAGCUUCACUCCUGUAGACAGAUUGAGAGGCCUCCCAACAGUUCAGAACUGCCGAAUCUGGAUCCGUCCGCCCACUUACCCCCCCAGGAAGUGGUAGGUUGAGUUCAAUGUGUUUGCAUUUAACAGUGGCCUAGCUUAUGGGACUUGACAUCAUAAUGGCAAUGUUUUAAGAUGAAUAAGUCAACAGGUGGUUUUUGGACCUCACUGCUCAUGGAGCACCAGGCUAGGCACUGACAAAAUUGAGGGGGAGGCCAUUCCUUCCGUGGGGAGGAAUCGAGGCUCGGGGCUGUGGCAGUUGGUCUGAAGGUCAAGAAGAGCAGGGGGCUCUCACUCACCCCAGACUCACAGGGAUGAGGAAGCGAGAAAGAGCCAUAAAGCGGGGAGGUCCGGGAGGGGCAAGCUGACAAGUGUGUGUUUAACUUCCCAGGAUUUCAAGUCCUGCAGCUAUUUGCCUAACCCAUGCUCACCAACCAUACUGCAGCCUCCACACUGUUUUAAUCUUGCCCUUCUGACCUCCAAGCACAUUUGCAGCCAGCAGAGAGCUGGGCAAACUCUAUCCCAAGCCAGCUGCAGCCUCCUCCCCAAGCCUCUCUCUCCCUCUGCGGGUGUGUCUCUCUCCCUGGCUGACUCCCACACGCCGUCUCCCUUGCCAUCUCUUAGAUACAGAACAUUUUUUUUUUUUCAUGGCUAAGUAGAAAAAUCCAAGCUCUCAGCCUUUUCUCAAAGCAAUAAUGAACAUAAUUGGUAGAAAUAAUCAAUACAAAACAAGAUUGACAACUUCUAACACUACAUACAGGGGGAAAAGGAUGACUUGACUGAAAAUUACCUGAAGAAUCAAAACUUGACAAAAUGUGGACCUGCAAAUCCGGGAACAGCUGGAUUUGGUAGAAAUACUGGCCACAAAGAGAAAAUCACAAAGGCAGAUGUUAUAACUGGUAAAACUUGGCCUGGACAAAAACCAGAUGGUGAAUCAAAUUUCAUUAUAAAAUUUAAACAGGAAAACAAUUGAUGCCAGUGAAGAUAAUUCCAAUAAACUUUAAUAAAAAAUGGUAAAACUGGAAACUAAUUGUGCUGUAGGGAAAACUAAUGAGUGAAUUUCUUUACUUAAUGACACUUGUUCUAGAAGUUACUUUCUUGGUAGAAAUCCAUCAAUGUUGGCAGAAUUCUGAUCACACUAUGUAAAGGCCAAACUUCCAUUAGCAUUUAAAUAACCAUCAGUAACUAUCAGGCCUCCCCAGAAGCAGCAAAGUGGGAGCUAAAUUGCCACUCCAGGAUGGGGCCUGGGAAUCUGUAUUUCAAAAAGAAUGUUUCAAACAAGCCAUCUGUUAAAAAAUAUAUUGGGGGGUGGUGACUAAGGAAGUUUGAACAUGGAAGGAUAUUAAAUAGUGCUAAGAAAUUGUUUCUAUUAUUUUUAGGCCUAACGAUGUUAUGAUAUGAGGUCAUGUUUCUUAAACAUGGACAGAAUUGUCUUUCCCCCCAAAUUCAUUAUGUUGAAGCCCUAACCCCUAAUGUGACUGUAUUUGGAGACAGGUCCCUUAAAGAUCAAAUCAAGGUUAAGUGAGGCCAUAAGGGUGGGGCCCCGGUCCCACAGGACUGGGGUCCUUAUGAGGAGGAGGCGACACCGUGAGUGCACGCGUAGAGAAAGGGCCACGUGAGCAUGCCAAAAAGCCCAGAGGCCUCAGGAGAAGCCAAACCUGCCAGCACCUUGAUCUUAGAUGUCCAGCCUCCAGAACGGUGAGAAAACAAAUUUCCAUUGCCGAGGUCACUGAGGUUACGGCAUUUUGUUUUGGCAGCCCUGGCUAACCAAGGCAAGUCUUUACAUAGUAGAGAUCCCUACUGAAUUAUUUAUGAGUGGAGCACUAUGAUGUCUGAGAUCUGCUUUAGAAUACUCCAGAAAUAAAAAUAGAGAGCUGGUGGGGGGAUAGAUGAAACAAGAUGGGCUAAAAAUGGACAAUUACCAGAGCUGAGUAACAGGUACACAGAGGUUUAUCAUACUCUCCUCUUCUACCGUAGGGCAUGUUUAAAAAUAUUCAAAGAAGUUUUAAAAAUUGACUUGGAUCAUUGUAAGGUGAUUUUGAUGCACACAAGUAGAUGAUUACCGAAAGGGGUUCUCAUUAACUUGUGUUCUAACCUGGGUUGGUAUGACCUGGAAUAAAUGUGUCACUAACACUUAUCUAUAAAUAAAGUUUUAACUAAAUAUAAUAAGGCAGUAGGGAAAGGAAUCAAAAUGUCAACUGCAGGCAGUGGGAUUGUUGGUGAGGGAAAUCAGGCAGGGAAGAGGGAAUCAGCAUUUAUUGAGCAGCUAAUGAAUCCUGGGUGCUUCGUAGCUGUUAACUUUGGAUGCUCACAUUGGUUUUACAUUUUAAAAUCUUUUUAUUAUCAAGCUAUUAUAUGAAGAAACUAAGGCCCAGAGAGGAUGAAUGAAUUCACAUACUACAGAGUGACUGACUCAGCUGGGAGUUGAAUCCUAUCCAUCUUCCUCCCAAGUGUGCAUUCUUUUCCCUAGCCGUUACCUUGAAGAAGGAAAUGGACCCCACUCCAGUACUCUUGCCUGGAAAAUCCCAUGGACGGAGGAGUCUGGUGGGCCACAGUCCAUGGGGUCGCUGGGGGUCGGACACGACUGAGCGCCUGCACUUUCACUUUACCUCCUCCCUGGAUAUUGCCAAGUGACAGAUCACAAAGGGCAGAGGAAUUCUGACGAAGAUGAGGUCAUGAAGAGAUACGCCCAGGACAGACUAACGAAGGACUUGAACUCAGAGGUAGGUCCUGGAGGUGGAGUGGAAGGGCAUCCCUGGAUUGCGGAGGGACGGCCAGAGGAGGAGCCUGGCGGCACAUGGAGAUGGAGAGGGCUCCGCAGCUCCUGGGAGAGAGGCUGGGGGCAGGGUGGGGGCGUGGGCCUGCAGGGAUGCUGUCCCAGGACUGGGGCCCAGCAAGACUGGUGAGAAGAGCAGAUUUCAGAAUGAGGCGGGAAGAUGAGGCCUCCAUCGACAGGUGAGGGAAGUCAGGAGGAGGCUGUUCCAGGUGGGGAGGAGAAAGGGCUCAAUUCAGGUUGGACGUGCAGAAUUGGGGACGACUGCGGAACAGCCGAGUGAAGAAGGCCCGAUGGCAGCUGGGGUGACAGAAUGUUGGAUUUGAAAAGUCAUCUGACCUGCUUCUUCUUUCAAGAAAUGUGAAACCUGGGGACUUCCCUGGUGGCCCAGUGGUUGAGAAUCUGCCUUCCAAUUCAGGAGACACAGGUCUGAUCCCUGGUCACUGCACUAAGAUCCCACAUGCCUUGGGCAACCAGCCUGUUUGCCGCAAUUACGUGCCUCACAAGUAGAAGCCCUCAAGCCAAAACGAAAGACCCCACGUGGCGCAACUAAGAUCCGAUGUGGCUAAAUGAAUAAACAAAUAUAUUUUUAAAAGAAGAAAGAAAGGAGAAUCUAGGAAGUAAUCAGGGAGUGCCCUGGGAUACACAGAAGAUUUUGGCUCCUUAAUCUAGCUUAUAUCACGCUACAGAAUGUAACCGUCCAUUCUUUGCUCUCCUGUAUGUUCCAGCAGAGUAUUGGGGAUUCAGCGGAGGUAGGGAGAUGCCUUUUGACUGGUCUUCCUCCUUCCGCCCUGCUAUCCCCUCCAAUUGUUUUUUUCUCAGGCAGUAGCCAUUAGAGUUGCUCUGCUACCUGGAAUAGUCUGUGUAAAUGGGCUAAAUGUAAAAGGAACUUUCUGGAUGCUGAUGGAAUGCAUACCCUGUGCAGUUAUGUAAGACGCAGGCCUGAGAAAGCGAUCCUAUAAAAAGGAUCCGGCCCUCCUCUGCUGCCUGAACACACGAGCCACACCCUAGCCUGAGAACACGUGCACAGGCGCCGCCCUCUCCCUAGAAAGCUCUUCUGAUGCUGUUUUUGUGUGUGUGUGUGGUGCUUUAUUAUUUGUUUCUUUUUAAUGUAGUAGGCAUUUUAACUUAAAAAAAAAUUGACCGUCCGCUCUCAUUGGAAUGGAAACUCGACAAGGGCAGGGCUCUGUGUCCUGUCUGUUUAUGGCUAUAAAAACAGUGCCUGGCACACAGCAGGCACUCAGUGAGUGAAUUACAGCAUAACAGGGCGACAGGCUAAAAUAAAGACCUGGACGAAAUUGCCGUGGAAUUUAAAAGGGGCACCAAUCCCACCUCCCUGACAGUGUCAGGGCAAGAUUCCCGAAGAGGUGACCAUCGAGCUGGGACUUGAAAGAGAGCAAUCAGCUCUAGGAAGCAGCAGAUUUGAUCAGUCAUUCUUCCCUGAACAAGAGGCCAGCUGCUCUGGGAAGCCUACCCUACUAAGUGUUCUUUGCAUUUCUCCUUGAAUGCCUUCAACAACAGGGAUUCAUUACCAUCUUACAAACGUCUAUCGAGCAGAUGCUGGGCCCUGCAAAUCCUGACGGGACCAAGAGAAGAAGCUCAACAUGGACAAGGGAGCUGACUCCGGGGGAGUGUGAUGAGAAGUGGGCAGAGAUGGAGACAGGCAAAGUGCCAAGCUCCUGGACUGAAGCCUGGGAGGCUGCUGGUUUGACCUCUGACGCUCUCUGCCACAGUGGGUGUUUCCCCUUCAGGAUACACUCUCCUCCCUCGGCUCCAGGACGCGGCUAUCUCCUGGUUCUCCUCCCGCCUUGCUCGCGGCGCUUCCUUAGACUUAUUUACCGGCUUCUCUUCAUAACCUCCAAUGUCACAGUAUCCCAGGUCCCAGUCCCUGGACCCCUUCUCUUCCCUACCUGCCCUCCUCAGUGGUGAUUUAUCCAGUGUCAUGGUUGUCGAUCACCCCUUUCCAGCUUUGACCCCGCCUCUAAACUCCAGUCUCCUUUAUCCAGUUGCCUAUUUGAAAACCCUACCGGACAGCUAGUAGGUAAGUCAGCUCACCACGCUGAACCUCUGGCCUUCUGUCCUCUACAACUGGUUUCUCCUUCAUCCCCCCAUCCCAGGCAACACAACUCUAGCCUUCUAGUUGUUCAGGGGCUCAAAACCUAUAAGGCAUUCUUGAGUUCUCUCUUUUUUUCAUCCCCCAGAUCCAAUCAAUUGGCCAAGAUUGUGGACUCUACCUUCAAAACACUCCACAUGUAACCACGUCUUAGCUCCUCCACUAUCUUUUCUAUGGACUUAGCCAUCAUCAUUUCUCACCUGGAUAUUUCAAUAGUCUCCUAAUAAGUCUCCCACCCCAACUGUUCAUCCCCAUCCCAUCACCUGCAAUCUAAUCUCAACAUAGCAGCCAGAUCAAUCCUGUUGAGAACAUUUUAAAGCUCAUUUCAUUUACCUCAUAGAAAUUUCAUGCAUAUUACAGUGUUUGGCAUAUGCCAUACUGUUGCAUUUAAAUUUACAGGCUAUUUAUUCUACCACAUGAUAUCAUGAUGUCUAAUAAAGACAUACCAUGGAGACAUUGUAGAUUCAGUUCCAGACCACUGCAAUAAAGUGAAUAUUUCAAUAAAGUGAGUCACACAAAUUUUUUUUUGUUUCCCAGUACAUAGAAGAGUUAUCUUAACACUAUACUGUAGCAUUUUAAGUGUGCAACCGCAUUAUCUCUUAAAAAAUGUACAUGCCUUAAUUUAAAAGUAUUUUAUUGCUGAAAAAUGCUAACCAUCAUCUGAGCUUUCAGAGAGUUGUAAUCUUUUUGCUGGUGGAGGAUCUGGCCUCAGUGACUGUUAACUGAUCAGGGUGGUACUUGCUGACAGCCUGAAUGGCUGUGGCAAUUUCUUAGACAACAAUUAAACAACAAUAAAUUUUGCCACAUCA